GGGUAAUCUGCCCUGCACACUGGGAUAAGCCUGGGAAACUGGGUCUAAUACCGGAUAGGACCUCUCGGCGCAUGCCUAGGAGGUGGAAAGCUUUUGCGGUGUGGGAUGGGCCCGCGGCCUAUCAGCUCGUUGGUG
rnacentral:rRNA from 1 species